rnacentral:piRNA from 1 species
GACAAUGUGCAGGAUAGGGUGUAGU